AUGUCUGUUCAGUUUUGUUUAGCCUUGCUGGCUCUCUCCUCUCUGACUGCUGCAUCUGAUCCAGGCUGCGAAGAGCUGCUUAAACCUCUAGAGGAUCGACGCCGGGUUUCUGGAAAAUAUCUAUAUUAUAUAUAUCAAGUUGGAACAUCAGACGAUGAGGAGCAAUUGAAGGAAAUUAGAACUUCAACUGUCCACCAAUAGUUGACAGUGAUGACAUGACCCUUCACUGGGGAGACAGAAUGUAAGCAAUCAAUGCAUAAGGUAGAUGCAUUAAUUCCACAUUCUUGGGAAACUCCACCAAGGUGACAUGGAAUUAUAACGCCUCUGAUCAUGAGCAUGUUGGGAAGCAUCUGGUGACCUGCCUUGACUGCAUCUUCUGGACAGACCCCUUAGUGACGGGGGGAGAAGAGGGAGCUAAACAAAACAAAAAAAAAGACCUGUGCCCUGAUGAGAAGGUGGCUGACACAGAUUGUGUGUGUGUGUGUGUGUGUGUGUGUGUGUGUGUGUGUGUGUGUGUGUGUGUGUGUGGACCAGCCCACUGUUACAGAACACUUUCCCUGGUUGCUUUGAGAAGCCUCUAUCUGGCAGGAUCUCUGACAUUAGUGUUGCUCUCUGGCUGCCUGCUGUCUCGAACCAUGGCUGCACAGCUGGUUGUAGCUCUGCUGGCUCUCACCUCCCUGGGUGCUGCAUCUGAACCGGACUGUAAAGAGCUGGUUAAGCCUCUGGUACUGGACAGCCACAGCCCCAUCUAUGGGAAGUGGGUGCUUCAUGUAGGGUCAUGGGACCAGCCUGGCCUAAAGAAGGACCUGGUGACGGUGAACAGCUCCUGGGUGGAUCUGUCGGCUUCCUCAGAUAGUGGAGUCAUCACCAUUUACUGGUCUGACCGCAUCAGUGAAGAUAAAUGUCUUCAGGGUCUAGCCAAUGCCACCGUCUCAGGGAUGACCAGUCACACCACUUUUAAUAUCAACGGUCACACUUCAUAUCAUGAUGGGAAGUACUAUGAGACUUGCUCCGACUGCCUCCUGUCCGAAGACACCACCCUCCUCCCUGACGGCAAGUCAAAGGGACGAUACCUUUUCCUCUUUACACGGACCGGCGCGCUGGAGCCAGCUGAGUUAGAGACCUUCAAGAAGCAAGCUGAGUGUCUUAAAUUCCUCCCAGAGUACCACUUUGGAGGAACAGAUCUGUGUCCAGAUGACAGGGAGACUGCUGCACCUACUGCACCUGCUGCUGAGAACACAGAGAAUGAUGAAAUUGAUGUCCAGCCUACUGCAAAGUAAAGCACAGAUGUAUGUCAUAGCCCUUUGAACAGCACACACACAUCCAAAUGCAUCCAUCUUAACAUGUACUAAAUAGUGUUGUAAUGUGAUUUGCAUGUGCCAUGGUCCAGUUGGUUUUAGCAGCAGCAAUAAGUUAAAGGCCUGCUGGUGUGAUGUCAUGUCAGAACUGUGGCUUGCAACGUGUAGUCUUAUUACUGUGUGUCUCUGUCUGCUAAGCUGUUUGACCUUUCAUGAUUUAGUUUAGGAUAGAACGGCUGAAUGGCUCAUGGCAUAUUCUGGCAGGUACAGUAAUGGCUGAAAAAUCCACUGAAAAGCCUUCUUCAAAUCAAUUUAACAUGUAAAUAGUUAUAGAGUGUAUAAUUUGAUUCAAGUGGUUGUGUGAAGUAAAUAAAACAAUUUUCAGUCUCC